rnacentral:rRNA from 1 species
AAUCAACGCUGGCGGCGUGCCUAAUACAUGCAAGUCGAACGCGAAAGGGGCUUCGGCCCUGAGUAGAGUGGCAAACGGGUGAGUAACGCGUGGGUGACCUACCUUCGAGUGGGGGAUAACGUUCCGAAAGGAACGCUAAUACCGCAUGACAUCCUGUCUUUGGACAGAUGGCGAUCAAAGCCGGGGACCGCAAGGCCUGGCGCUCGAUGAGGGGCCCGCGUCCGAUUAGCUAGUUGGUGGGGUAAUGGCCCACCAAGGCGACGAUCGGUAGCCGGCC